CCCAAAAGCUGGCGACCGGCGCACGGGUGAGUAACACGUAUCCAACCUGCCGAUAACUCGGGGAUAGCCUUUCGAAAGAAAGAUUAAUACCCGAUGGUAUAAUCAGACCGCAUGGUCUUGUUAUUAAAGAAUUUCGGUUAUCGAUGGGGAUGCGUUCCAUUAGGCAGUUGGUGAGGUAACGGCUCACCAAACCUUCGAUGGAUAGGGGUUCUGAGAGGAAGGUCCCCCACAUUGGAACUGAGACACGGUCCAA
rnacentral:rRNA from 1 species